rnacentral:rRNA from 1 species
UACGGGGGGGGCAAGCGUUGUUCGGAAUUACUGGGCGUAAAGGGCGCGUAGGCGGCCUGCUAAGUCGGAUGUGAAAUCCCUCGGCUCAACCGAGGAACUGCAUCCGAUACUGGCGGGCUUGAAUCCGGGAGAGGGAUGUGGAAUUCCAGGUGUAGCGAUGAAAUGCGUAGAUAUCUGGAGGAACACCGGUGGCGAAGGCGGCAUCCUGGACCGGUAUUGACGCUGAGGCGCGAAAGCUAGGGGAGCAAACGGG